CUUGUUGUUCACAUAAAGCCUGUUUGGUGAUCUCUUCACAUGGAUGCAUGAGACACUUAUCACACAGAGCGUGGUCCCAGGCUGCUAAGAUUGCUGGAACUCAGCUACUCUCCCAGCCGAUUGUCUGGUCAAACUGGGGAAAGCAAUCAGGGAAGACCAGCAACAAGAAUAAAACCUGCAGAGACCCUGCCCCGGCAGCCUCUGCCUUCCAGUUCUGGAUCCCGGCACCCCUGCUGAGAUGGUCCCGCAACCCCCUUGACUUCCUCUCUCUAAUUUCUGAGAGUAAAGCUCACCAAACCUUCUCCCAGCCCUGAAAAGUCUCAACUGUGAAAACUUGGCUGGGAAAGGACUUGGAUACAAAGGGACUCUGUGUAGCCUUCCUUGGAUCUUUGAAAAACAGCGACAACACUGCUGAACCAAACACCCUGAAACUAAGGACGCUUUCUGAUAAGCUAUUGAGAUUCACUGGUCAUUUCUGCUGUGCUGGACAGGAGCCCCGAUGGAACGGGCCUUUCAGAAGCCAAUAAAGACCCGUGGCAUGGAACUCCUGGGACUUCCUCCAUCCACAUCUUAAGGAGCUGCCCUGUCCCCUGUCUUCCUGCCUGAAUAUGAUGCCUCUCUGGCGUGAAAGCUGAGAAUGAAGUGCAGGAGAGAACGUGUGUGUGUGUGUGUGUGUGUGUGUGUGUGUGUGUGUGUGUGUGUGUAUACGUGACUGCUUCUUAUAAACGCAUAGAAAUGAAACCUCAAGAUAAAUACAUCUGGCUGGUACGAUGGCUCGCGCCUGUAAUCCCAGCGCUUUGGGAGGCCGAGGCAGGCAGAUCACUUGAGGUCAGGAGUCUGAGGCCAGCCUGGCCAACAUGAUGAAAUCUUAUCUCUACUAAAAAUAUAAAACUUAGCUGGGCAUGGUGGCAGGCCCCCUGUAAUCCCAGCUACUUGGAGGCUGAAGCAGGAGAAUUGCUUGAGCCAGGGAGGCAGAGGUUGCAGUGAGCCAAGAUCACACCACUGCACUCCAGCCUGGGCAACAGAGCAAGACUCCGUCUCAAAAAAGAAAAAAGAAAAAUAAAUCUGCUGAAAAGUAGAAUGCCAUGUGUAGUGGGUUGUUCCCUAAACGUUCAUGUUCACUCAGAACAUCAUAUAUGACCUUACUUGGCAGUAGGCUGUUUGCAGAAAUAAUCAGUUAAUGCUUGAGAUGAGAUCACACUGGAUUAGGGUGAAUUCUACAUCCAAUGACUGGUGUCCUUAUAAAAAAGAGGAAAGGACACAGAGCGACAAAGUCCACAUGAAGACAGAGGUGGGCAGAGAUUGGAGUUAUCUGCCGCAAGCCAAGGUACGCCUGAGGUCUCCAGAAGCUAAAGGCUUCUAGAAGCUUCUAGAGUUCCUCUAGACACUGAGGCAAGAAAGAGGCAAGAGGUGGUUUUAGCUGAAGGUGUGGCUUCCAGCCUCAGCCUGCUCAUACAGGAGGCUCUGGG
rnacentral:lncRNA from 10 species